rnacentral:rRNA from 1 species
UACGUAGGGUGCGAGCGUUGUCCGGAAUUAUUGGGCGUAAAGAGCUCGUAGGCGGCUUGUCGCGUCGGAUGUGAAAGCCCGGGGCUUAACUCCGGGUCUGCAUUCGAUACGGGCAGGCUAGAGUGUGGUAGGGGAGAUCGGAAUUCCUGGUGUAGCGGUGAAAUGCGCAGAUAUCAGGAGGAACGCCGGUGGCGAAGGCGGAUCUCUGGGCCAUUACUGACGCUGAGGAGCGAAAGCGUGGGGAGCGAACAGG